rnacentral:tRNA from 1 species
GUGGGCGUAGUCUAUUAAGAGGACGCCGGUUUUGUAUUCCGGAGGAGGAUAAGUCAUACCCCCCACU